CCAUAGGUUAAUGAGGCGAACCGGGGGAACUGAAACAUCUAAGUACCCCGAGGAAAAGAAAUCAACCGAGAUUCCCCCAGUAGCGGCGAGCGAACGGGGAGCAGCCCAGAGCCUGAAUCAGUGUGUGUGUUAGUGGAAGCGUCUGGAAAGGCGCGCGAUACAGGGUGACAGCCCCGUACACAAAAAUGCACAUGCUGUGAGCUCGAUGAGUAGGGCGGGACACGUGGUAUCCUGUCUGAAUAUGGGGGGACCAUCCUCCAAGGCUAAAUACUCCUGACUGACCGAUAGUGAACCAGUACCGUGAGGGAAAGGCGAAAAGAACCCCGGCGAGGGGAGUGAAAAAGAACCUGAAACCGUGUACGUACAAGCAGUGGGAGCACGCUUAGGCGUGUGACUGCGUACCUUUUGUAUAAUGGGUCAGCGACUUAUAUUCUGUAGCAAGGUUAACCGAAUAGGGGAGCCGAAGGGAAACCGAGUCUUAACUGGGCGUUAAGUUGCAGGGUAUAGACCCGAAACCCGGUGAUCUAGCCAUGGGCAGGUUGAAGGUUGGGUAACACUAACUGGAGGACCGAACCGACUAAUGUUGAAAAAUUAGCGGAUGACUUGUGGCUGGGGGUGAAAGGCCAAUCAAACCGGGAGAUAGCUGGUUCUCCCCGAAAGCUAUUUAGGUAGCGCCUCGUGAAUUCAUCUCCGGGGGUAGAGCACUGUUUCGGCAAGGGGGUCAUCCCGACUUACCAACCCGAUGCAAACUGCGAAUACCGGAGAAUGUUAUCACGGGAGACACACGGCGGGUGCUAACGUCCGUCGUGAAGAGGGAAACAACCCAGACCGCCAGCUAAGGUCCCAAAGUCAUGGUUAAGUGGGAAACGAUGUGGGAAGGCCCAGACAGCCAGGAUGUUGGCUUAGAAGCAGCCAUCAUUUAAAGAAAGCGUAAUAGCUCACUGGUCGAGUCGGCCUGCGCGGAAGAUGUAACGGGGCUAAACCAUGCACCGAAGCUGCGGCAGCGACGCUUAUGCGUUGUUGGGUAGGGGAGCGUUCUGUAAGCCUGUGAAGGUGUACUGUGAGGUAUGCUGGAGGUAUCAGAAGUGCGAAUGCUGACAUAAGUAACGAUAAAGCGGGUGAAAAGCCCGCUCGCCGGAAGACCAAGGGUUCCUGUCCAACGUUAAUCGGGGCAGGGUGAGUCGACCCCUAAGGCGAGGCCGAAAGGCGUAGUCGAUGGGAAACAGGUUAAUAUUCCUGUACUUGGUGUUACUGCGAAGGGGGGACGGAGAAGGCUAUGUUGGCCGGGCGACGGUUGUCCCGGUUUAAGCGUGUAGGCUGGUUUUCCAGGCAAAUCCGGAAAAUCAAGGCCGAGGCGUGAUGACGAGGCACUACGGUGCUGAAGCAACAAAUGCCCUGCUUCCAGGAAAAGCCUCUAAGCAUCAGGUAACAUCAAAUCGUACCCCAAACCGACACAGGUGGUCAGGUAGAGAAUACCAAGGCGCUUGAGAGAACUCGGGUGAAGGAACUAGGCAAAAUGGUGCCGUAACUUCGGGAGAAGGCACGCUGAUACGUAGGUGAAGCGACUUGCUCGUGGAGCUGAAAUCAGUCGAAGAUACCAGCUGGCUGCAACUGUUUAUUAAAAACACAGCACUGUGCAAACACGAAAGUGGACGUAUACGGUGUGACGCCUGCCCGGUGCCGGAAGGUUAAUUGAUGGGGUUAGCGCAAGCGAAGCUCUUGAUCGAAGCCCCGGUAAACGGCGGCCGUAACUAUAACGGUCCUAAGGUAGCGAAAUUCCUUGUCGGGUAAGUUCCGACCUGCACGAAUGGCGUAAUGAUGGCCAGGCUGUCUCCACCCGAGACUCAGUGAAAUUGAACUCGCUGUGAAGAUGCAGUGUACCCGCGGCAAGACGGAAAGACCCCGUGAACCUUUACUAUAGCUUGACACUGAACAUUGAGCCUUGAUGUGUAGGAUAGGUGGGAGGCUUUGAAGUGUGGACGCCAGUCUGCAUGGAGCCGACCUUGAAAUACCACCCUUUAAUGUUUGAUGUUCUAACGUGGACCCGUGAUCCGGGUUGCGGACAGUGUCUGGUGGGUAGUUUGACUGGGGCGGUCUCCUCCUAAAGAGUAACGGAGGAGCACGAAGGUUGGCUAAUCCUGGUCGGACAUCAGGAGGUUAGUGCAAUGGCAUAAGCCAGCUUGACUGCGAGCGUGACGGCGCGAGCAGGUGCGAAAGCAGGUCAUAGUGAUCCGGUGGUUCUGAAUGGAAGGGCCAUCGCUCAACGGAUAAAAGGUACUCCGGGGAUAACAGGCUGAUACCGCCCAAGAGUUCAUAUCGACGGCGGUGUUUGGCACCUCGAUGUCGGCUCAUCACAUCCUGGGGCUGAAGUAGGUCCCAAGGGUAUGGCUGUUCGCCAUUUAAAGUGGUACGCGAGCUGGGUUUAGAACGUCGUGAGACAGUUCGGUCCCUAUCUGCCGUGGGCGCUGGAGAACUGAGGGGGGCUGCUCCUAGUACGAGAGGACCGGAGUGGACGCAUCACUGGUGUUCGGGUUGUCAUGCCAAUGGCACUGCCCGGUAGCUAAAUGCGGAAGAGAUAAGUGCUGAAAGCAUCUAAGCACGAAACUUGCC
rnacentral:rRNA from 1 species